GGUAGUUCUGUAACAGAGAGGUCUCUAUGAACGACCAGGUAGUUCUGUAACAGAGAGGUCUCUAUGAACGACCAGGUAGUUCUGUAACAGAGUGGUCUCUAUGAACGACCAGGUAGUUCUAUAACAGAGUGGUCUCUAUGAACGACCAGGU